rnacentral:rRNA from 1 species
AUUGAACGCUAGCGGCAGGCUUAACACAUGCAAGUCGAACGAGUGGCGGACGGGUGAGUAAUAUAUGGGAAACUGCCCGGUGGCGGGGGAUAACUACUGGCAAAAGUAGCUAAUACCGCAUACCAUCGGAUGUGCCCAUAUGGGAUUAGCUAGUUGGUUGGGUAACGGCGCACCUAGGCGACGAUCCGUAGCUGGUCUGAGAGGAUGACCAGCCACACUGGGACUGAGACACGGUCCAGACUCCUACGGGAGGCAGCAGUGGGGAAUUUUGCACAAUGGGGGAAACCCUGAUGCAGCCAUGCCGCGUGUAUGAUGAAGGCCUUCGGGUUGUAAAGUACUUUUGGCGGAGAAGCGGUAUCUGCAGAAUAAGCACCGGCUAACUCCGUGCCAGCAGCCGCGGUAAUAC